UUCUCCUUGAGGAGCCAGUGUCCAGCUUGGCCAUGGAGGAAGAGGAGGGCUGCAGAUACAGGCAGAAGCCACGUCUCGAGGGACCUUAUUUCUUCCACUGAGAAAUCUGGACGUAGUUGAGAAGCAAGGGGCACCACUGAUGGCCUUUGAGGGAAGGGCAGGGCCAGGGCCCUGUCAGACACGCGUGUAGGGAAGUGGAAACUGUUUCAUGCUAUCUACCUUUUGGAAAAGAAACAUCGGCAAGCAUGGCAUUCACUCCAAUUGUGGCUGGAAGGAAGAAUGUGUGUCUCUGCCACAUACUGGCGCCCCCAGACCAGACCUGUGCCGCGCUCACAGCCACCAGCCACUGGCCACCACUGGGGACUUCUCGUGUAGCUGAGUCGAGCUGAGAUACGCGAGCGCCUGCCGGCACCAGCUGGACGCAACUGUCACAGCCGUUUGCUCUUGUGUGGGAGCCGUCUGCGCGUGCGAGCAACGCUGGAGCAGAGCAGCACUCGUGCGCCCCAAAAGGGCAGAAGCGGUGGCUGCUCCAAAAGACUCUGCGGGUGCCAGGACGUGUGCGCCGCUCCAAACUGACAGUGGAGACAGCGCCCAAGUCCAGGUGCUGUGAGGACUGAGGGGAUCGGACGGAGCCCAGAGCGUGCGCGGAGGGCUGAGGGCACGGCGGUGUCUCCCUGUUCCACGGCCAUGUCUGGAGAGAGCUCUCGGCUGAAGAGAGAGCAAAGCAACUAUUCCUCAGCUGUUCACAAAUUCUGUCUCCCUGCCAGUUUUUCCUUUUGCUUUUGUGAUGCUUGAUAUAUGCAAAUAAACCCUGAGCGUGCUUCCCCCGGGGAACACGCAUGCAAUCCGGCCACCUGGGGUAUGAUCGUAGAAAUAUAGAAAGUAUGACUA